rnacentral:rRNA from 1 species
UCGUCCAGUGUGAAAAACUCCGGUGGUAUAGGAUGGCCCCGCGUCUGAUUAGCUUGUUGGUGAGGUAACGGCCCACCAAGGCGACGAUCAGUAGCCGGCCUGAGAGGGUGAGCGGCCACAUUGGGACUGAGACACGGCCCAAACUCCUACGGGAGGCAGCAGUGGGGAAUAUUGCACAAUGGGGGAAACCCUGAUGCAGCGACGCCGCGUGGGUGAAGAAGUAUUUCGGUAUGUAAAGCCCUAUCAGCGGGGAAGAAGAUGACAGUACCCGACUAAGAAGCCCCGGCUAACUAC